rnacentral:rRNA from 1 species
UACGGAGGAUGCGGGCGUUAUCCGGAUUUAUUGGGUUUAAAGGGUGCGUAGGCGGACUGUCAAGUCAGCGGUAAAAUUGAGAGGCUCAACCUCUUCCCGCCGUUGAAACUGGUGGUCUUGAGUGGAUGAGAAGUACGCGGAAUGCGUGGUGUAGCGGUGAAAUGCAUAGAUAUCACGCAGAACUCCGAUUGCGAAGGCAGCGUACCGGCAUCCAACUGACGCUGAGGCUCGAAAGCGUGGGGAGCAAACAGG